AUUGAACGCUGGCGGCAGGCCUAACACAUGCAAGUCGAACGAGCGGCGGACGGGUGAGUAAUGUAUGGGGAACUGCCCGAUAGAGGGGGAUAACUACUGGAAACGGUGGCUAAUACCGCAUACUAUCGGAUGUACCCAUAUGGGAUUAGCUAGUAGGUGGGGUAAAGGCUCACCUAGGCGACGAUCCCUAGCUGGUCUGAGAGGAUGACCAGCCACACUGGAACUGAGACACGGCCCAGACUCCUACGGGAGGCAGCAGUGGGGAAUAUUGCACAAUGGGCGCAAGCCUGAUGCAGCCAUGCCGCGUGUAUGAAGAAGGCCUUAGGGUUGUAAAGUACUUUCAGCGGGGAGGCGUUACUCGCAGAAGAAGCACCGGCUAACUCCGUGCCAGCCGCCGCGGUAAUAC
rnacentral:rRNA from 1 species